rnacentral:rRNA from 1 species
UACGUAGGGGGCAAGCGUUGUCCGGAAUCAUUGGGCGUAAAGCGCGUGUAGGCGGCCCGAUAAGUCCGCUGUGAAAGUCCAGGGCUCAACCCUGGGAUGCCGGUGGAUACUGUCGGGCUCGAGUCCGGAAGAGGCGAGUGGAAUCCUGGUGUAGCGGUGAAAUGCGCAGAUAUCAGGAGGAACACCAAUGGCGAAGGCAGCUCGCUGGGACGUGACUGACGCUGAGACGCGAAAGCGUGGGGAGCAAACAGG